UAGUGGCGAACGGGUGAGUAACACGUGGGCAAUCUGCCCUUCACUCUGGGACAAGCCCUGGAAACGGGGUCUAAUACCGGAUAACACUCUGUCCCGCAUGGGACGGGGUUAAAAGCUCCGGCGGUGAAGGAUGAGCCCGCGGCCUAUCAGCUUGUUGGUGGGGUGAUGGCCUACCAAGGCGACGACGGGUAGCCGGCCUGAGAGGGCGACCGGCCACACUGGGACUGAGACACGGCCCAGACUCCUACGGGAGGCAGCAGUGGGGAAUAUUGCACAAUGGGCGAAAGCCUGAUGCAGCGACGCCGCGUGAGGGAUGACGGCCUUCGGGUUGUAAACCUCUUUCAGCAGGGAAGAAGCGAAAGUGACGGUACCUGCAGAAGAAGCGCCGGCUAACUACGUGCCAGCAGCCGCGGUAAUACGUAGGGCGCAAGCGUUGUCCGGAAUUAUUGGGCGUAAAGAGCUCGUAGGCGGCUUGUUGCGUCGGUUGUGAAAGCCCGGGGCUUAACCCCGGGUCUGCAGUCGAUACGGGCAGGCUAGAGUGUGGUAGGGGAGAUCGGAAUUCCU
rnacentral:rRNA from 1 species